GUCUACGGCCAUACCACCCUGAACACGCCUGAUCUCGUCUGAUCUGGGAAGCUAAGCAGGGUCGGGCCUGGUUAGUACUUAGAUGGGAGAAGUACUGACUACAGAUGCUU
ensembl:rRNA 5S_rRNA 5S ribosomal RNA